rnacentral:lncRNA from 1 species
UUGGCCUUGUCUGUUUGUGCUUGAGGCAGAAUUACACAUGUGACCGAGUUGAUUUGAACUGAAGACUAAAAUGAUAUCAAUCUUCUCAUCUGACUUUAUUAGGCAGUAAACAAGUGAGCCAGCCCUAAACUGAUUGACUUUUACAGCAGCCUGAGACGGAGAGGUCUGUGGCCUCCUGGGUCAGACUGAUUUGAUUCUUUACUUUUAUUGUGACUGAUGUGAUUGUGAAGAUCAUCGCUGCACUCCUGCGUCUCUUAGAGAGAGAGAGGAGAGGAGAGGAGAGAGUGCUAAUAUUCUUUACACCACUUCAGCAUUAUGCAAACCACUAACGGUGACUGUUUCAGUGCCGAUCUCUGGGACCACAAAGACUCGUGCGAUGUAAUUAAAUGCAUUCUCCUGGUGUCUGCUGUCUAUUCUGUCCUCAUUAAACUGCUUGCAUCAACUGAGAGCUCCAUCUCCGAGGUAACUCCGAGAUUGUGCAUCUAUAAGCAACAAAAUGCGGAGAAUCGUGUGAGUAUUCCUCAUAAGGUCCUUCUUCCAGCGAGUCCCAGAGGAACUGCAUUACUUCCAAAUCACCUUAGAGCGCCUACUCUCAUUUAUCAAGGCCAUCCACAAUUGGCCCACAGGGUGAGCGGCAGUCAACCAUAAAUCUAGAAAUGUCAGAUAAGGCGGAAUAUACAGCACUUCUCUCACCAAUUACAUCUCAGUCAGCUUUAGUACAUGUAUAGAAAAUCAUGGAGCAGCACACAGAUGAUCCAACAGGACCCUAAAAUUGGUGCAGGAAUCUCUCCAAGACUAGUCAGGACUGUUUAUGUAUGCUGAGCAAUCUGUAAGGAUCGCUUUGCAUUGAUAAUCCCAAAUCCUGGUGUAGAUUUCGAGGCCUGUAUGUGAAGCUUCACGCAGAAAUAAGAGGAUCACGACAUGUGCUGCUGCACAGCCACAGCGGGGAGCUCGUAACAGAGCAGAACAGCUUUUGUCGACCCCACUGAGACUUUUGCAACAUCACAUCGGGGAGAGUGGGGUAAGUUGAGCCACCCCCUUUUGUUUGGAAAUGUAGAAGAAAUUGAUCAUGUGACCAAAUAUUGAGGAGAUGGGCAUCAAUUCAUGGAGUCUGUGAAGGUCAGAAGCACACGGGUGAAGAGGUUAGACAUUUAGACAAGGAGCAAAGGGAUAGCUUUGUGGUUUAGAGAUCUGUGCAGGGAUUACUGAAUAAAACGCCAAGCCUCAACAAGUUUAUAUGUGUCAGUUAAAUCACUUAUUAUGAACCAAUGCACCAAACUAAACUAACUUUCUAACAGUCACUGUAAUCUGAGGUAAGUUAAUCAAUAAUCUUAAAAAAAUCCUACCUUUUAUAAAUGUUAGAUACUUUGACGUAGAGUAAUUUAUAUUUUAAAUAAAAAAUAUUUAAUUUUUUUAUUUAUUAUUUCUCUUGGGGGGGCCCCUAUUGGUCGCAGGGCCUUAAGCAGACGGUGUGGUAUCUAUGAGCUACAACAUGAGGUCAUAAACUAACAUAAAAGUCCACCAUUUUACCUUAGAGGACUAAUAAAGUCAUUAUAGUAGUUCUGGGCUAACUGAGAAAGUAAAGGAGUCUGAUGAGAGGAUCAGAGUUUCAGUUCAGAUUGUUGAAAUGUUUGACUUUUUCUUUUCAUAAAUACAGCUGUGAAUAUUCUGAAUCACUUAAAGACAUUCUCAUGUUACAAUGACUUUUUAAAAAACAGCGUUUUAGCAGUUACAUGCAAUAAUAAUAAAAAGAAUUAUUGUACUAGAUGACUGUUAUGGUGGAGGGUAUGGGGGUAGUAGGGAUACGGCUCAGCUUACCCCAUAUACAGGGUAAGUUGACCAUAGGAGACCACUUUUUUCAUGCUAUAAUUUCAAGACAGUUCUGUUUGCACUCAUUCUGUUGGUUUGCAGGGAUGAACAACACCCUGAAAUAUAUGCAGAUACACUAAUAAGAGACAAAUCUAUGAUUGCCUUGAUGUAGUGAUCUGAAAUAUGAAAAAUGGCUCAUCUUACCCCACUCUCCCCGAAAUCCCAAAAUGUGAGUGUUUGCAUGUAAGAGGAACAAGAAGCAGGACUGCAGGAGAAGUCAUCAACAUGUGCAGACCACUGAUAGAAAACCAAAUGUGUGAAAUGAAGAAUGUGAGCUGCUGCUGAUUACAUCCAGGAAGCUCACAGUUCAAUGAAGGGGAGGAAAAUGCCUUUACACAGAGCGACAUCUAGUGUUCGCAUGUCUACUCUGCAGAAAGAGGAAACAGUGAGAAUCAGAUUAGAGUGAUAUUCGGGUGGAGCAUUGAGACACAGCUGCGCGGACUUUUCACACACUGUCUGUGGGUUGGACAUCCGUGUAUGAGUGUGUGUGUGAGCGGGAUAGACUAGUGUGUGCGUGUCUGUGUGUGUGUAAAGAAACCAUCUGUCAGAGAGCAAAGACGGAGUUUUGAGGGUCAUCUAAGGAGAGCUGAGAGGCAGAAGUUGAAGUAUUUGUCUGUGGAGUUUUCAGGUAAGUCGAUUUAAAUUCACCGAUUUCGGGUUUUCCUCACAGUUAAAGUUACUAAAACACAAACGUGACUUCGAUCUUGAGAUAAAGUGUUGGAAAAGUGUGGGGAACAAAGGGUCCAGCGUGGGUUUCUGAGGCAUGUGUACCCUGCAGAAAAGAGGAAGAGAAAGCACAUGUUUGAAGGAGGAAGGACUCAUGCGGCUGAUGCAAUUUAGCUCGGAAGCUACUACUACUACAGAGAGAGGGAAAGCAGAUCUAUCCUGUUGUCUUUCUAACAGAUCUGUGUGUGUAAAGUUACUGCAAAGAGUCACGCCGAUCACUCUCUGUUUGUUUGGGUUGAAAUUAGACGUGGAAAUCCGCGUGGGUGUCCGGAGUUUGGGGAAAAGAGCGAGUUGUGAACACGCGGGGAAACAUUACCUUUUAUAGCGCCAUAGUUGUCUGCGUGUCUGCAUGUGUGUGUGUGUGUGUGUGUGUGUGUGUGUGUGUGUGUGUGUGUGUGUGUGAGAGGGUGGGGGCUCAUUUCCACCCGAGAUGAGGAUGAACUCAGAUGAACCCACAGUAAAGCAGCAAAUCAAUCCUGCACACUUUCACCACUUUUACAGUCAAACUUUUUUUUUUUUUUGCAGCAAAAUCAGGACAAAACUCAGGUGCAUAAAAAACUCCAAGUGAAGCUUUAAAUUCAUGCAAAGAAGUUAAAAAUCUGGAUGUUACAUUUGAUUCCAACCCCAGUUUUGAGCCACACAUACCAGAUGUCUGUAAAUGCAAUUAUCACAUGGGGCCAGAGUUUGGGCGAUAAAUAGUGAACAUUAAAACAGCUUUUCUUUCUCUUUGAGACGACGCUCAUCAAAUCAUUUCUCUUUAUGUACGACUGCGGAUUGACUAUUUACCCGUCAUAAUUUUUGUUUGACAGAUACUUGAUUCUGUUAAUGUUGUCAGAUAUAUUCAAUUUCCCCAAACUUCCAUCAGCUUUUAUCAUGUGAUUUCCAAACAUUUCUUAAAUGUAGAGAAGUAUCAUUUUGAGGGAUUUCUCAUGA